UUGUACCAGUAGGAGACGCACUUCCUAAAAAGUUUCACCGACAGGAGACGCACUUCCUCAAAGUUAAGUUUUACCCAUAGGAGAUGCAUUUCCUCCUAAGUUGUUUUGAAAAAAAAAAACAAAAAAUGACCUAGUCCGAUGAACUUUCUCCUAGGAUCAAAAUCUUAGUCUGACGAAUUUUUCUCCUAAGAUAGAGACCUAGUCUGAUGAACCUUCUCCUAGGAUCAAAAUCUUAGUCCGACGAAUAUUUCUCCUAAGAUAGAGACCUAGUCUGACGAACCUUCUCCUAGGAUCCAAAUCUUAGUCUGAUGAAUCUUUCUCCUAAGAUAACCAAAAAAUGACCUAGUCUGACGAACCUUCUCCUAGGAUCCAAAUCUUAGUCCGAUGAAUCUUUCUCCUAAGAUACCAAAAAGAAAAGACCUAGUCUGAUGAACCUUCUCCUAGGAUCA
rnacentral:lncRNA from 1 species